rnacentral:tRNA from 1 species
GCGUGGGUGGCUCAGUCGGUUGAGCGUCUGACUUCAGCUCAGGUCACCAUCUCGCGGUCCGUGAGUUCGAGCCCCACGUCGGGCU